CGGACGUAUGUUUAGAUGGCUCUCGCUUGGGAAUUGCCUUUCGUCGUGGUUUUGGUGCCCAGGUGCGAUGACUGUUUAUUGUGCCUUCCUAGUGAUAUCUGUUUCUGUGUGUAUCUUGGAAGAUACCUCCGGAAGCCGUUGGUCUUCGUGAAUUGAAGAUGAACCAACAGGCACGAGACGUGGGAAAAUCAACAGAUACGUCGUGGAGAUGUUGAAAGAGAUCAAGUAGGGCAUACAAUUCACCCAUACGUCUACAUUAUCCACGGAACGAUUUAUGAUGUCCGACACUAUACCUUUCGGGAAAAAAAAUGUUCCGACAUCAGAAGACUGCAGAAGAAAUAGAGAUAUCUAUAAUAUUUACAUGUUCAGUCUUUCAAUUAUUACGCUUUUAGCCACCAACUGUUUUUCUGUAUGCCAUUGGCACGUACAGUCUGCCCCGCUGCUGGACAAAGAGUGUCGACUCUGGUUCAGGAAUGUAGCACAGGCUGUAUAGUGGCCCACUGUUGAUGCUGAAUGAAUGGCAAUGAUGUGAUGUUGAGUUUGAUGUUGAAUUAUUCAAUGGUGUGAUGUGAGGUUGAGUUUCAUGUUGAAUGAUGGGCAAUGAUGUGAUGUGAUGUUGAAUGAUGGGUAAUGAUGUGAUGUGAAUUUGAAUUUUAUGUUGAAUUAUGAGCAAUGAUGUCAUGGUGACAGUAAUGUUGAGUGACGCGCAAUGAUUUGAUGCUGAGUUUGACGUUGACUUAUGUGCGAAGACGAGAUAUUGAAUGUGAAGAGCUCCUUACUUCCCUGAGCUUCCCUGCCUCGCGUUGCAUCCUUGUCAUCAUGAACCAGCUUGUCCACGCCCUCUCUCUAUUGGUGAAGAGCUACGAUGGAUUUUUCAAAUCUGCGGUUUAGGGUGUGGGGUUGACAUU